AUUAGGUAUUUUUUUGUAUCAAACAAAAAGCGUUUGUAUAUAUAUGGAAUUGGUUGCUUUUAUAGAGCCACCACCUUACGUCCGUCGCGUCCGUCAGUUGGUUGUUUAUGCUGCUGCAAUUUUAUACCCAUAUUUUCAUGUAUCUAUAGAAUCUACCAGCCGCUGUGAACAUUACCUAAAGGUAGUAUAGAGACUCUUGACUAAGUUGUCGACAAAACGGCGUCAAGAAAAAGAUCCACUCUAAGCUAGAGAUUAGUCCUAUUUACUCAGAGACUUAGAACAUGAAGAGUUUAAGUCUUUUCUAGUUUUGUUUUAUAAGAACAACUAGGAGCCCAUUUAAUCUUUUCUUUUUUUUAGAUCUGCACUCCAAAGAUAGGUAUCUAAAGGUAAACAGAUGGGGCAGGCAUAAGUUGAGUAUAGGCAAGGCACUGCUUGUUAUCAAAAAACUUGCAUACGAGUACUUCCGACGACGACGACGUGACGGCUGACGGAGAAGCACGGUGUCAUGCAAUAUACAUUUAAAAAAUAGCAACUGAGGUUUUUAAAGUGUACUUAAGUAUAUUAAGCACAAUCAGAGCCGUGUAUAUUUAUAAAGGUUUAUAAAACUUUUCAAGUGUCCACUUUACCACUGAAAUAAAAUAAUUGAAAGCUGUUUGUCAAUUUGCAAUGUAAACUAUGAAAACUCGCAUGCAACUAAUUGAGAGAAGUAAAACAACAAAUGCAAUUACAUUUUAUAUACAGCUAUAGAAGAUAAUAUACUCGUAUAAAUAGUGAGGCACUUAAAAUCAGUGUGGAUCUAUCGAUUGGUGGUGAUAGUUUUGAGCACUUAGAUAUUAUAUAGUCUCCUUGAGCACACAGCAAAAUAUAAGCACAUCGACUUCGACCGACUCUAAACGGAGGCAAAAACUAAGUAGAAAUGAUACUUUUAACCAAAACAACGUGGGGCUCGAGUCAUGGUGAAUUCCAAUAAUUAAGGCCUAUGCAAAGAAGUCAUCAAUUUUUCCACCACCAAAUACCUCUACACGCGUCACUGCUACAGUCGGCUCGAACUUACAUCGAUAACACGAUAAUAAAACAAAACAUUAAAGAAAAAAGAACCAUAAUUGACCAAAGAUAAUGGAAAAGUUUUGAGAUUCCGGCAGGAAAUAUAAUCAAAUGAAUUCCCAAA